CAUAGAAAAUAGUGUUGUAGAGCAGAGGGAUCUAGGAGUGCAGGUACAUAGUUCCUUGAAAGUGGCCUCACAGGUAGAUUGGGUGAUUAAAAAGGCUUUUGCCAUAUUGGCCUACACAUGUAUAGAAGUUGGGAGGUCAU